CGCGGGGCAGGGCAGUGGCGGCGACCGGCCGGGGGCGGGGGGGGAGGGAUAAGAGCAAGUUUCAGAGAAGAAACGCCUGUAGACAGGGAAAAUCACUGACUUGGGUCCCACACAAUGCCAUAUGUGUUGGGGUGUGAGCAGCCAAAGCAACAGGCUCCAACCCCACCGACCGGCGCUGGGGGCACCUGGUGCUGCCCGUGGGGUGGGAAUUGCCAUGAGAGGAAAUACCUCAGAGGGGCUUCCCUCCAAAUAAACCCUGAAUAUGCCAAGAGGUUUCAGACAGGAGAAUGGAGCUGUGGAAGAAAACCAGCCUAAAAAUAGCCAGUGAGGAUCAUCAGGUUUUCCAGCCAAGAAAAACAAGGACGGAGAUGAGGGAAUCGGAUUCCAAUUAAUAAUGAGUUGGAAGUGGACUGUGACAAGGGAAUCGGCUCCCACGAGGCCAAGGAUCAGAGUGGGCUCUGCACAGGGGACGACUUCCACUUCCAAACAGGGAAGGGCACCUUUGUCCCCACCUCCGGCAAACUGGGACGGAGUAACAUCUGCCUGCAACUGGCUGGAGUUCCCAUUGGCUCUGGGCUUUCUGUUCACGGCCGGGAAUCAUAGCCAGAGUCAUUCAAACCUGGGGAAUAGGGGCCUUUACACCAUCCCUGCAGCCUGUCCAGGGCAGGCUGCUGCGCAUCGGCCCCUGAUCACAGUGUGGUAUUCAGAUCCUUCAGAGCACAUUCAAGUUUUCACUGCAUUCAGCACUCUGUAACUGUGUCCUGGGUCCGGUGCUCAUUCCCGAGGCCCCUUUGCAGAGGUUGUCCCUGCAGACUGAGGUGCACAGAGGCCGAGGUGUGGGUGCUGUGGAUUCGGUUUGAGUGUAACACAGCAAGUCUGAGAUCUUGGCUGGGAUUUAAACCACUGCUGCCACCUGCUGAUGAACACGGAGUACUGCAGUCGUCCCCGAAAAAGAGGUGCCUGGCUCCGCCCCCUCUAGCUCGUCUCCCUCCCCCUCGCCUGUGGCUCCACGUGCCCUCCCCUCCCACGCGGGGCAGCCCCACGUGUGGCCAGUGAGGAUGAUGAGGGGGAGGCCCCGCUGGGUGA